GUGAAUCAUCAAAUUUUUGAACGCAUAUUGCACUCUUUGGUAUUCCGGAGAGUAUGCCUGUUUGAGGGUAAUUAAAAAGAAUCUUUACUAAUUUUUUUGGUUAAAGGAAAUGAGUUCUCCGCGUUUAUAGUGGUAGCUUGCAAUAAAUGGUAGUCUCAUUUUAGUUGAGAUGCGUAAUAAUCUUAUCUCGCGAAAUUUUCAUUAUGUGACUAACAAGCUUUGAUGCAUACAAAUUUGGUUUGUAUGCGACCAAUACAAAUAUUCUGAACCUUAUCUCAAAUCAGGCAGGAGUACC
rnacentral:misc_RNA from 1 species